CUGCUCACUUCGGCAGCACACGUACUACAAUUGGAAUGAUACGGAGAAGAUUAUCAUGGCCCCUGUGCAAGGAUGACACGGAUGUUGAUGAAGCAUUCCAUACUUUU